UGGGGAAUUUUGGACAAUGGGCGCACUUNCUGAUCCAGCCAUGCCGCGUGCGGGAAGAAGGCCUUCGGGUUGUAAACCGCUUUUGUCAGGGAAGAAAAGGUUCUGGUUAAUACCUGGGACUCAUGACGGUACCUGAAGAAUAAGCACCGGCUAACUACGUGCCAGCAGCCGCGGUAAUACGUAGGGUGCAAGCGUUAAUCGGAAUUACUGGGCGUAAAGCGUGCGCAGGCGGUUAUGCAAGACAGAGGUGAAAUCCCCGGGCUCAACCUGGGAACUGCCUUUGUGACUGCAUAGCUAGAGUGCGGCAGAGGGGGAUGGAAUUCCGCGUGUAGCAGUGAAAUGCGUAGAUAUGCGGAGGAACACCGAUGGCGAAGGCAAUCCCCUGGGCCUGCACUGACGCUCAUGCACGAAAGCGUGGGGAGCAAACAGGAUUAGAUACCCUGGUAGUCCACGCCCUAAACGAUGUCAACUGGUUGUUGGGAGGGUUUCUUCUCAGUAACGUAGCUAACGCGUGAAGUUGACCGCCUGGGGAGUACGGCCGCAAGGUUG
rnacentral:rRNA from 1 species